rnacentral:rRNA from 1 species
UCGAAACCUGCCCAGCAGAACGACCCGUGAACGUGUUUAUCAAUUUUCGGAGUUGGGUAUUGCAUGGUGCCUUGUGUGCCUUCUUUCCCCUCGCCUAAUCCGGCGGGCGCUCACUUGUGAGAUGCUCCCGGCUAUAUAAACUAACCCCGACGCGAAAAGCGUCAAGGAAUACAAGUAAUAAUGCGCCCCGCCCUUGUCCGGUUAUUCGGUACAGGGGUAAGGUGCCAUGUCGCUAAUAACAAUAAACGACUCUCGGCAACGGAUAUCUCGGCUCUCGCAUCGAUGAAGAACGUAGCGAAAUGCGAUACUUGGUGUGAAUUGCARAAUCCCGUGAACCAUCGAGUCUUUGAACGCAAGUUGCGCCCGAAGCCUCUGGCUGAGGGCACGUYUGCCUGGGCGUCACGCAUCGCGUCUCCCCCCAAACAAACUUGGUUUGCGGGGAAGGAGGAUGGCUUCCCGUGCCUCACCGGGUGCGGUUGGCCUAAAAUUGGAGCCCACGGCGUGCAGUUGCCGCGGCGAUAGGUGGUGAACAGGGCUUUGGCCAUGUAAACAGCCCGUUGCGGUGUGCCUCUACGUGUGCUCGUCGGACCCUUUUGCUUUGCCUUGUGCAAUGCAAACCUUUGCGACCCCAGGUCAGGCGGGG